rnacentral:lncRNA from 1 species
CUAUCUAGAUUAAAUGGCACUUAAGAUAUGGUAAGAAUGAGAGUGAGAAACGCUUAGUGCUAUAGAGCAGGCCGACAUUAAACAUUCUUUAUGGGUUGUCAUAGCAACCCACUUUGAUAACUCACAUCUCUGCACUGGAGUUAAAUAAGGGGGCACAUGGCACUUAGGAAGGUGCAGUCUCCUUUAAGAAGAUCUAUAAGCACUGCAGAUGAACAGAACUCGAAACAUUCCUCCAUGAAUAUUCAUGAAGUAAGUUGUUUUUUGUUGCCUGCCUAGUCAGCAGUCACAAAACACAUGGUGUGUGUUGGCAGCAUCUUGCCUAGGUAGAGGGCUAUGGACUGAGGCAAUGGCAGGAACCAGGACCUGUGAGGCUGACUGACAUUUCCAUCUGUAGCUAAGGCUGGUAAUUAACAGGAAGGAGUGUGCCUGCAGCACCGCACCAUCUGCUAGGGAAACGGCUCAAUAAGAAAGGAGCUGGAUAUCAUCUCAGUGGUGGCGCGAGUCGGUUCCGACAUGAGGCUGGGCAUCUGUUAGUUGAGGAGAGAGGCUAUUAGGAAAUUCGACUGGGAAUGAACCACAUGGAAAGAGCACUCUGACCUAGCCCAUCAAAGCAUCUCUUCAGAAAUGGGGCCUUUUUAUCUUACUUACACAAGACUUUGGAAAAUGGUUUGUUCAGGGACCAUUACAGGCCUGUUUGAUGUCACACAAUGAUUUUUUUUUUUUUUUUAGGAAAAAACCCACUCCCAAACCUUGCUGUAUUACAAUGUGAAAUUCUUGAAAUCAGGAUACAGCUGUCAUCGUUUGACAAUGGAGCUAAUUUCAGAGAUGCCCAGAGCCAGAGACAUCUUUGUCACCAGGAGUGGCAGCAGCAGAAAUUGAGCCUUAACACCUGCUCCCUGCCCAUGAUGCUUGCCUCUUCCCUUCUUUGAAGAGAUAGGUGGGAAGCUAGUGUGGCUGGCCGGCCUGUCUUCUAACCUUGUGGAGGGAGCAGCAAUUGCAACAGGAAUACUGGACCACAGGGACUCUGGAGCUCAGGAGCAGUAAGCACAGCAUGGUGAAAGACCUUUGUUGCUGAGGCCAGUUCUGGGAGGGAGAAACACUUCUUCAAUAGGCCUUCCCUCCAGGUGAGCCUCAUGAGUGGCCCGGCAGCUGCUACACAGGCCAGGGCCUGAUUCUGCAAACACCAGGCCACUCCUGGGUAAGGAGCUGUGGGAUUCUGCAGCUGCUAGGGCAUUGUGGGCCAGAUCCUGACACCACCAAGAAAGACUCUGGGGAGUGGGAGGCUGAGAUACCACCACCUUGUCCCCCUUCCCCACCUCCUGAUUUCUGAUGUGGUAAAGGGCCAAAAGGAGGGAAGCACUUCUCAAGUGGUGCACACCUUCGUAUUUCUACUUAAACACAAAUAUUACAAAAUGCCAGUGAGCUUCCAGUGACUUCAUUCCAAAAGAAACCCAUUCUUGGUAAAUACAGACUUGGACUGUCCCACAACUCACAGUAUCAAUGGUGUGUAUGGCAACAAAAUAAAGAUGAA